UUGACAUUGUGUCCUGCGGCGUCGGUCUACCGAUCGCGGUACGACAGGCGCGUCUGCGGGGCUUCUCGCCGGUGCGUGUUCAUCGCCGGCGCGUCGGCGGCGUUAUCGGCGUUAAUCGUCGUUGCGUCGUUCGACGUCGAGGCGGGCCCUCGCGGCUGUUUACUUUGAACAAAUUAGAGUGCUCAAAGCGGGCUAACAUUUGCCUGAAUAUUGUGCGCAUGGAAUAAUAGAAUAGGACCUCGGUUCUGUUUUGUUGGCUUUCUGAUACCAGAGGUAAUGAUUAAUAGGGACAACUGGGGGCAUUCGUAUUGCGACGUUAGAGGUGAAAUUCUUGGAUCGUCGCAAGACGGACUAAAGCGAAAGCAUUUGCCAAAGGUGUUUUCAUUAAUCAAGAACGAAAGUUAGAGGUUCGAAGGCGAUUAGAUACCGCUGUAGUUCUAACCAUAAAUGAUGCCAGCCAGCGAUCCGCCGAAGUUUUUUAUUUUGAUUCGGUGGGCAGCUCCCGGGAAACCAAAGCUUUCGGGCUCCGGG
rnacentral:rRNA from 1 species